GACGAACGCUGGCGGCGUGGAUUAGGCAUGCAAAGUCGAACGGUAUCAAUCCUUUCGGGGGUGAGAGAGUGGCGAACUGGUGAGUAACACGUAGGUUAUCUACCCUCAAGACGGGGACAACCCAGGGAAACUUGGGCUAAUACCGGAUGUGAGCAACUUUUAGUUGUUUGAAAGGUGGCGUAAGCUGUCGCUUGGGGAUGAGCCUGCGUCCUAUUAGUUAGUUGGUGAGGUAACGGCUCACCUAGGCAAUGAUAGGUAGGCGGCCUUAACGGGUGGUCGCCCACACUGGGAUUGAGAUACGGCCCAGACUCCUACGGGAGGCAGCAGUCGAGAAUAGUCUACAAUGGUCGGAAGACUGAUAGUGCGACGCCGCGUGAACGAUGAAUCCCUUCGGGGUGUAAAGUUCUUUUAUAUGUGAGCAGUGCUUCUUAUAUUAACAGUAUGGGGGAAGAGAUAUUAGCAUAUGAAUAAGCAACGGCUAACUCCGUGCCAGCAGCCGCGGU
rnacentral:rRNA from 1 species